UACGAAGGGGACUAGCGUUGUUCGGAUUUACUGGGCGUAAAGCGCGCGUAGGCGGAUCGCUAAGUCAGGGGUGAAAUCCCAGGGCUCAACCCUGGAACUGCCUUUGAUACUGACGGUCUGGAGAUCGGGAGAGGUUGGUGGAAUUCCGAGUGUAGAGGUGAAAUGCGUAGAUAUCUGGAGGAACACCGGUGGCGAAGGCGGCAUCCUGGACCAACACUGACACUGAGGAGCGAAAGCCAGGGGAGCAAACGGG
rnacentral:rRNA from 1 species